CCUACGGGAGGCAGCAGUGGGGAAUCUUGGACAAUGGGCGCAAGCCUGAUCCAGCCAUGCCGCGUGAGUGAAGAAGGCCCUAGGGUUGUAAAGCUCUUUCGGCGGGGAAGAUAAUGACGGUACCCGCAGAAGAAGCCCCGGCUAACUCCGUGCCAGCAGCCGCGGUAAUACGGAGGGGGCUAGCGUUGUUCGGAAUCACUGGGCGUAAAGCGCGCGUAGGCGGAUAUUUAAGUCAGAGGUGAAAUCCCAGGGCUCAACCCUGGAACUGCCUUUGAUACUGGAUGUCUUGAGUCCGGGAGAGGUGAGUGGAAUUCCCAGUGUAGAGGUGAAAUUCGUAGAUAUUGGGAAGAACACCAGUGGCGAAGGCGGCUCACUGGCCCGGUACUGACGCUGAGGCGCGAAAGCGUGGGGAGCAAACAGGAUUAGAUACCCGAGUAGUC
rnacentral:rRNA from 1 species